rnacentral:rRNA from 1 species
GUUGGUGACGCGGAGGGACAUUACAGAGUUCUAAAAGACUCCCAAAACCAUUGUGAACGUACCCGUCAGCGUUGCCUCGGCGGGCGGCCCCUCCCUGGGGCCGCUGCCUCCCUCGGGGGGUGCCCGCCGGCGUACCAAAACUCUUUUGUAUUUUAGUGGCCUCUCUGAGAAAACAAGCAAAUAAGUUAAAACUUUCAACAACGGAUCUCUUGGUUCUGGCAUCGAUGAAGAACGCAGCGAAAUGCGAUAAGUAAUGUGAAUUGCAGAAUUCAGUGAAUCAUCGAAUCUUUGAACGCACAUUGCGCCCGCCAGUACUCUGGCGGGCAUGCCUGUUCGAGCGUCAUUUCAACCCUCAAGCCCUGCUUGGUGUUGGGGUCCUACGGCUGCCGUAGGCCCUGAAAGCUAGUGGCGGGCUCGCUAUAACUCCGAGCGUAGUAGUAAAAUAUCUCGCUAGGGAGGUGUCGCGGGUUCCGGCCGUGAAAGCCCAUCUUUUACACAAGGUUGACCUCGGAUCAGGUAGGAAUACCCGCUGAACUUAAGCAUAUCAAA